GACGAACGCUGGCGGCGUGCUUAACACAUGCAAGUCGAACGCUGAAGCUUGGUUCUUGCACUGUGUGGAUGAGUGGCGAACGGGUGAGUAAUACGUGAGUAACCUGCCCUUGACUCUGGGAUAAGCCUGGGAAACUGGGUCUAAUACUGGAUAUGACAUGCCACUGCAUGGUGGUGUGUGGAAAGGGUUUUACUGGUUUUGGAUUGGCUCACGGCCUAUCAGCUUGUUGGUGGGGUAAUGGCCUACCAAGGCGACGACGGGUAGCCGGCCUGAGAGGGUGACCGGCCACACUGGGACUGAGACACGGCCCAGACUCCUACGGGAGGCAGCAGUGGGGAAUAUUGCACAAUGGGCGGAAGCCUGAUGCAGCGACGCCGCGUGCGGGAUGACGGCCUUCGGGUUGUAAACCUCUUUCAGCACGGAAGAAGCGAGAGUGACGGUACGUGCAGAAGAAGCGCCGGCUAACUACGUG
rnacentral:rRNA from 1 species